GGACAGGGAGAUGCGGACAGCGGCCCGCGCUUUCCUGGCCUAGCGCCGGUUCUCCCACUUUGCGCCCCCGUCUCCGCCUCCGCCGGGCGCCGCGCUCGGUCCUGGAGGCUCUGGUCCGAGGGCCGGGACCCGCCUGGGGACGGGGAGCCGGCGCCCGGGAGCGAAUCGAUGCUGCUGCGGCGGUGACCGCGGGUCUCGUUUUUAUUCUAUGAACCCUGCGAUCUGCCAGUGUCACACAUUGUGCUGGGCCCCGGCAGAUGAAGGCCCCCAGGCUUGUCCCAAUGGCAUGUGACACGGUGAGCAUCGGAGGGAACUCCAGAAGAGGCCUCCCUGGAGGCUGGCAGAGCACUGAUUCUGAGUCCUGUGUGGCUUCUCCACGAAGGCACCCUGGACCACUGGACCACGCUUCUGCAGACACCGGAAGAAACCGGUUUUCUAGCUGACAGCUAUUCAUCACAGUCACUGUGUGUCACGGGUUAGUGGUCCCAAAGGGCUAGACCUGGGAAAUCUAGGCAGUUGUUUUUUGUUUUGGUUUGGUUUGGUUUUUUCCACCACAAACUGAAGGCUAGCAUUUGGAUAAGAUCCUUUAAAAAAUGGUGACAAGAUGCUUUCCUGAGACCUUUGCUUCGGUGUCCUUUACAGCUUUCCUGUCUCCCCAGAUAAUGUCCUUUGUCAGUCUCCCCUUGUCUCCGUCCUCCUCCCAGCGCCUCGGAAUGUGUAUCUAUUGUUUUGCUGGUUUCCUCUUCUGGCACCUUUAGGCAGUCAUUUCCCAUCCCAUCCCAUUUUCUCGGGGUCUUCUCCCGCCCCCUGCCCAUUUCUGUGCCGCGUUCACUUUUUCUUUUUCUGUGAAUCACAGCUCGGUCCCUCCUCUCACCUUUAUCUACAUCCUUCAUCUGUCUCUCACUCUCCUUACUUUCCUUCCUUCCAGAUGUAACAUUUCGAGUCUGUAACAUCCAGAGAUAGACAAUGGAGAACUAUCCAGCCUCCACUGCAAAUUCAUUCUUAAUCCGAUGAAAAAUGUAUCGGGAAACAAACACCUCAGUCCUUGGUUUUGGAAUUCAGCUCCCGAGGAGAAUAGUGCGGUGACAUGCGGGAGAAAUGAUCACAUCCUUGACAACGGAUUUCCAAUCACAAUCACCUGAUUUGCAGUAGAAAAAAUGUUGCCCUUACCAUUUUACUAUAAAAUGUGGCUGCUGAGUGAUUGUGAUUUAAAAACAGACCCGAUCCCCUGGAAAAAAACAGAGCGUCCCUGGGUGGGCUCGAACCACCAACCUUUCGGUUAACAGCCGAACGCGCUAACCGAUUGCGCCACAGAGACCGCGGUGACUGCUGGGGUGGCAGACAGCCGAGUCAAUGGGAGCGAGGCCAGCAUGGCUCGGGGUAGGGACUGUGCAGCUUCGAAACCGGGCGAAAGAAAUCAGACUAAGCACAGGACCCGGGCGCGGGCUGCAAGGAGUCUGCGCCCCCUAUCCUCAGGAUGCAUCCUGGAUGUGGAGAGGCGGGAACGUUUUGUAGG
ensembl:lncRNA